GGCAGCUGCCCAUGGUCCUAUUUACCACAAUAUUCACUGUUUGCUUGCCACACAAACCAAGGGGACUUGCUGCAGUGUCCAACCACCCAAGCUGCUGAAUGAUAAGGUACUGGACUGGGACUUAGGAGACUUGGUUUCAAUUCCCAGCACUGCUUUGGUGGGUGACCUUCAGCAAGACACUUCCUCUCCCUGUACCUCAGUUUCCCUAUCUGUAAAAUGGGAAUAAUGAGAUUGACCUCCUUUAUAAAGUGCUUUGAGAUCUACUGAUGAAAAGCCGUACAAAAGAGGUGUUCCUGGAGAAGAGAGAACAUCUACAAAUUGGUGGUAAAGGGUUUCUGGAACCUACAUCUCCUCUCAGUCUUGCCAAAGGAUCUCACCCAGUGAAUUAUGUUGUUUUCAGGCUAGUGGCAGGCAAACACAAAGGAAGAAGCCAAAAGACCAAGGAGGAGGUGAGAGCUGGGACAGUUGUCUGGUGCCUUAUUUAUGCAUAUAUUUGUCAGGUAUUUGCAUGCAAAUCAGGUGUCCUUGUAGGCACAUAACAAUUAGGCACUUACCUGGCCUUGUGCAUAUGUGCAGCAAGCGCAAUGACUCAGUGGCUCAGCGCCUCCUGUCAGUCAUCCUGGGAAUUAGUUCUGCUGCCCCAGAGUGCCCUCUGCAUGCGAGUGUCUUGCCUGCCACUGGCCUCCAUGUCCCUCCCAGACCCCGGUGCCCCCUACAGCAAGGUUCUGCCCCUGCAGUAACCCCACAGCUCUGGGUCUCCGCUCCCCAGAGAACCCCCAGCCCUCUAUCCCCACCUUGCCUCAGUCUAUGGCUACUGCCAGUCACCAUCUAGCCCCCACUCCCUGUGUACAAGCCAUUCAUCAUUGGCAAAGGGGGAUUUGGACCUGCAACCCCAGUACCUGGUUCAGCCUUUGACAAGGCCUGCAGCCUGGGAAGUUGCCAGG